UAAUGAACUGGUGGAUAUUUAUUCCUUUGGGAUGUGUGUGUUAGAAAUGCUCACUUCUGAUUACCCAUACAGUGAGUGCUCGAAUCCUGCCCAAAUAUACAAGAAAGUGACUUCGGGAAAGUUGCCAGAGGCUUUCUACAGGAUUAAAGAUGUUGAAGCCCAGAAAUUUGUGGGGAAAUGUUUGGAGACUGCUUCAAAGAGAUUGCCUGCGCGGGAGCUCUUGUUGGACCCUUUUCUUGCAUCUGAUGAACCCAAAUUGCUGCCCGUCCCAAAAAUCCCAUUUCAAAUGUCUUCUCCUAAUGGAACAGAGGAGAUCAAUCCAUCUUUGUUGGCUGAUCCAACCAAGGCCACAGAUAUGACAAUUACAGGAACUAUGAAUCCUGAAGAUGACACAAUUUUCCUCAAAGUGCAAAUUUCUGACAACGAUGGUAUGCAAAUGCUCAUUGACAUUACAGGAUUGAAUCAAAUUUGCAAAAGUUUUAAGCACCUACUGACAAUUCAUCAAACCAUGUUUUGAUUGGUACAAUUUUUCUUUAAUUGAUCUAAUUUUGCUAAACUUAGGUCGCACAAGGAACAUAUACUUUCCCUUUGACACCAUGAACGACACUGCAAUUGACGUUGCAUUAGAGAUGGUGAAAGAAUUGGAGAUCACUGACUGGGAACCAAUGGAGAUUGCUAAAAUGAUAGAGGAGCAAAUAACAUCUUUAAUUCCAAGCUGGAAACAGUGGGUCUUCUCCCAAGUCUAUCAGCAGCACAGCUUUAACUAUGAUGAUGGUGAUGGUGAUGGUGAUGAUGAUGAUGAAGAGGACGGAACCAGUCAUCCUUUCCACUCCAUCUCCUCGCGUUCUUCUUCC
rnacentral:misc_RNA from 1 species